AUACGUAGGUGGCAAGCGUUGUCCGGAAUUAUUGGGCGUAAAGCGCGCGCAGGUGGUUCCUUAAGUCUGAUGUGAAAGCCCCCGGCUCAACCGGGGAGGGUCAUUGGAAACUGGGGAACUUGAGUGCAGAAGAGGAUAGUGGAAUUCCAAGUGUAGCGGUGAAAUGCGUAGAGAUUUGGAGGAACACCAGUGGCGAAGGCGACUGUCUGGUCUGUAACUGACACUGAGGCGCGAAAGCGUGGGGAGCAAAAAGGAUUAGAUACCCUGGUAGUCCACGCCGUAAACGAUGAGUGCUAAGUGUUGGGGGGUUUCCGCCCCUCAGUGCUGCAGCUAACGCAUUAAGCACUCCGCCUGGGGAGUACGGUCGCAAGACUGAAACUCAAAUGAAUUGACGGGG
rnacentral:rRNA from 1 species